rnacentral:rRNA from 1 species
AUUUAAAUUAGAAUUUUAUUUUUUAGUUAAAAAGCUAAAAUUUUAUUAAAAGACGAGAAGACCCUAUAAAUCUUUAUAAUUUUUUUUAAUUUAAUUUUUUAGGAUAAAUUUUAUUAUAAUAAAGGAAAUUAUUUUAUUGGGGUGAUAUUAAAAUUUAAAUAACUUUUAAUUAUUUAAAUUACAUUAAUUUAUGAAUUAUUGAUCCAUUAUUAAUGAUUAAAAAAUUAAGUUACUUUAGGGAUAACAGCGUAAUUUUUUUGGAGAGUUCUUAUCGAUAAAAAAGUUUGCGACCUCGAUGUUGGAUUAAGAGAUAUUUUUAAUGCAGAAGUUAAAAUAUAAAGUCUGUUCGACUUUUAAAUUCUUACAUGAUCUGAGUUCAAACCGGUGUAAGCCAGGUUGGUUUCUAUCUUUAAUUUUGUAUAAUAUUUUAGUACGAAAGGAAUUUAUAUUAGAAAAAAUUUUUUUUUAAAAGAAU